rnacentral:rRNA from 1 species
GACGAACGCUGGCGGCGUGCUUAACAAAUGCAAGUCGAGCGGAGCGGCGAACGGGUGAGUAACGCGUGAGUAACUGCCCCCCUCUCUGGGAUAACAGUUGGAAACGGCUGCUAAUACCGGAAAGUGGGGGAUGGCCCGCGGACUAUCAGCUUGUUGGUGGGGGAGUGGCCUACCAAGGCGACGUCGGGUAGACGGCCUGAGAGGGCUACCGGCCACAUUGGGCUGAGAUACGGCCCAAACUCCUACGGGAGGCAGCAGUGGGGAAUAUUGCCCAAUUGGGGAAACCCUGAUGCAGCAACGCCGCGUGCGUGAUGACUGCCUUCGGGUUGUCAACCGCUUUCAGCCAUGACGCGGUAGUUGCAGAAGAGGCACCGGCUAACUACGUGCCAGCAGCCGCGGUAAUUC